UACUGUAAUUGUGAUGAUGCUCUUGACGUUCUCUGCAGAGCGCCCCCCUGGUUACGACAGAGUGAGGAACGCUGAGAUCGGGAACAAAGACUUUGAACUGGAUGUGUUGGAGGAGGCCUACACAACAGAGCACUGGCUGGUUAGGAUAUACAAGGUCAAAGAUCUGGACAACCGAGGUCUUUCAAGGACAUAAAACCUUGAGACGCAGAAAAGCCUUUUAGCACUGAACACCUUCCCCUGUGGUCUGCAGAUGAGUGGAGAGAACGAAUACUUUUUAUACUUAUUGUUUGGGGGAAGAAAAUUGCAUCAGAGAUUUUUGAUUUUUUUGUGGAUGAUUUUCUUUUCUUUUUUCUUUUGUUAUAACGAAAUGUCUCAUCUGGGAUCAGAGGGAUCUGGUGUCAAAACGUCCAGGAAGUGUACUUUGCAAUGAAGUGUUCAAAAGAAAGCAGUGUUCAUUUAAGAACGCUUGAAAUGGGUUUUUACAAUGUGGUCAAUUAAAGUGGGGUUAAAUGUGA